UACGUAGGGCGCAAGCGUUGUCCGGAAUUAUUGGGCGUAAAGAGCUCGUAGGCGGUUUGUCACGUUGUUCGUGAAAACUCACAGCUUAACUGUGGGCGUGCGGGCGAUACGGGCAGACUGGAGUACUGCAGGGGGAGACUGGAAUUCCUGGUGUAGCGGUGGAAUGCGCAGAUAUCAGGAGGAACACCGGUGGCGAAGGCGGGUCUCUGGGCAGUAACUGACGCUGAGGAGCGAAAGCGUGGGGAGCGAACAGG
rnacentral:rRNA from 1 species